UGGGCAACCUGCCGUAUACAGGGGAAUAAUCAUUGGAAACGAUGACUAAUACCGCAUGUCACCAUUGGGAGGCAUCUCGCGAUGGGAAAAGGAGGAAUCCGGUAUACGAUGGGCCGCAUCUGAUUAGCUAGUUGGUGAGAUAAUAGCUCACCAAGGCGACGAUCAGUAGCCGACCUGAGAGGGUGAUCGGCCACAUUGGGACUGAGACACGGCCCAAACUCCUACGGAAGGCAGCAG
rnacentral:rRNA from 1 species